AUGAAGCCCUCGAGUCUUUUAAUGCGUUUCUUGUGGUUGGAUCAAGCAUUGUCAAGUAAAAGUAUGGUAUUCCCUUGCCUUUGCCCGGCAGGCCAUCACUAUAUGACACAACAUUCCUGCCAAAAACAAUUUUGAAAGAGAUCAAGAUCCUAAUAAUUUAUAUUAUAUAAUCUGCACACCCUAAUGAGAAGACAUAUAUCACAUGUUUAGAGGUCCAAAACCACAACGAAUAUGAUUCCUAUUAACAGACCAA